rnacentral:rRNA from 1 species
UAACGGCUGAACCAGCAACUUGGAGGAAUGUAUAGCGAAAGCUAGUUGCAUCAACUAGAUUUUAGUUGAUGUAGCAUCGACUAUGUCGAAUAAAGUUCUAGGUAGAGUUAUGAUAAUGACAUUUUCUAUCUAUGUGUCUUGACCAAAUCACGUGCCAGCAGUCGCGGUAAUACGUGGAAGACUAGUGUUAUUCAUCUUUAAUAGGUUUAAAGGGUACCUAGACGGUAAAUUUAGCCCAGAUGCAAAAAAGGGUACUGAUUAUACUAGAGUUUAAUAAGAGGGGGUGUGUAAUAGUGGAGUAGAGAUGAAAUUCUGUUAUACCAAUAUGACAGGCAACGGCGAAAGCAACCCUUUAUGUAAAAACUGACGUUGAAGGACGAAGGCUUUGUGUCACCAACAGGAUUAGAUACCCAAGCAGUCUUAGCAGACAAUUAUGAAUGCCAUAGAUAAGAAAGAAUCUUUUUUUAUUUUAGAAAAUAAAGAGAAAAAAGAUGCCAUUUUGUCUAUAAACGAAAGUGUAAGCAUUCCACCUCAAGAGUAAUGUGGCAACACAGAAACUGAAAUCAUUAGACCGUUUCUGAAACCAGUAGUGAAGUAUGUUGUUUAAUUUGAUGGUCCGCACAAAACCUUACCACAAUUUGUAUAUUAUCCCCUUAAGAUUAAUACAAGAGUUGCACGGCUGUCUUCAGUUAAUGUCGUGAGAUUUUGGUUAGUUCCAUUAAAUUAACGUAAACCCUUACUUUAUUUAUAUUAUAAAGUAGUUCACCGCUAUAUUGGAUAUGAUAAAAGGGACUAAGACAAGUCAUCAUGGCCUAAAUAUUGUGGGCUAUAGACGUGCCACAUAUGCCUAUACAAAGGGAUGC